rnacentral:misc_RNA from 1 species
AAGUCGUAACAAGGUUUCCGUAGGUGAACCUGCGGAAGGAUCAUUAACACGUAUCCAACGUUAAACAACCCUGUGAACUUUCAGACGCUCUUGUAGCCCAGGAGGAACAGCAAUCCCGGUAAAUCAAUGGCAGAAAAGUUUUGAUUCGGGACCUCUGUCCAAAAGGUAUCAAGUUACAAUCGAGCUAGGAGCAGUGGCAUGGUUUCCCUAAGCAGUGCAGAAGGAUCCACUGAGUAAGGAUCACCGGCCGGCAGACAUGUCACAGGGCUUUACGCCCCUUCAUUCACCCCUUGCCUAAUCAAGCCCCGCGGAAACGCCGGGCAAAAAAAUCUGAACAACUGUUAACAAUGGAUAUCUUGGUUCUC